GGAAGGGAACCCGAGAGGCGCUAACAACUUUUCCUCUCUUCGCCGGAUCGAUGCUUGCUACCUGAAGUAAGCCCUGAAUUAUGGCGGCUUCUGCGCCGACACCGCAUGGAACUGACUCUCCAGCAGAGGGGCGAUGCGGUUACUAUGUGGAAAAGAAGAAGCGGUUCUGCAGGAUGGUGGUGGCAGCGGGGAAAAGGUUCUGUGGUGAACACGCUGGAGCGGCGGAGGUCUGGUAUCGCCUUACCCUCUCGAGGGUCGGAAAUAAGUUUCCUGGUCCGGCACUUUCCCUCUCUGACAGAUUUCUGCUUCUGUCCCCUGGAGUUUCCAGCUUUUCCCGUGAUAAACGCAGUCCUGGCCUCCCUAGGGAGCGAUGAUGAGCCGUAGUGAAGUGCAGUGUUGUCUUGUACUAAGUAAAGCGCCAGCAGUGACCCGUUUAUCUUGAUACCAACUCGUGGUAACGCUAGAUUGUAGUUUUACCGCAGACUACCGCUUCUUGCGCUCCGCUCACUCUCCGCCUUCCUGAUGGGAAGUGGUGGUUUAGAAAGAAGACAGAUCCCAAGGAAGAAAAUGCUCGGAAAAGAAUCCUGUGUCCUUUAGAUCCAAAACACACAGUAUAUGAAGAUCAACUAGCAAAGCAUUUGAAAAAAUGUAACUCAAGAGAGAAGCCAAAACCUGACUUCUUUAUUCAAGAUAUUAAUGCAGGCUUAAAAGAUGAAACCGAAAUACCUGAACAAUUAGUUCCAAUUUCUUCUCUUUCUGAAGACCAGUUGGAAAACUUAAUUAAGAAAUUGAGAAAAGCAAGUGAAGGUUUGAACUUUACACUUGAAGAUCAAAUUAUGUCCCAUCCAGCAUUGCAUGAUGCCCUUAAUGACCCUAAAAAUGGUGAUUCUGCAACCAAACAUCUGAAACAGCAGGUAUGUUUAAGCUAUAGUAACUCUGCUAAAAAUGCCUUUUUGUCCAUUUGUCAAAGCUAACAUUUUAUUGUUUCUUAAUUUAGUUACUAAUAAGAUUUUGUUUAGAUUAACUUUCAGGUUUCAGAAUCUUUCCAUUUCAAAAAAAAAUGUAUAUAAACAUAUAUAAAAUUCUUUGGCAUGGAUAUGGUUUUAAGUACUACGUGUUAAGUAUUUAAAAGCUAGAGAAAAACUUUAAAGUCAAACAAAAAUCAUCAGUGUGAGCACACUGCCUUAUGUAGAAAUUACCUUAUUAUUUUCCCAUUUGAACCAAAUGUGUUUGCUGUGGUUUAUAAAAUAAUCUUGUGAAGUUUGCAGGCUUCUAUUUUAGGUAACAUUGAAAAAUUAAAGUUACUUGGUCCAAGAAGAUGCUUUGUUGAGUUUGGAGCAGGAAAGGGAAAAUUAUCUCAUUGGGUUGAUAUUGCCUUAAAUGAUGCUGAAAAAGUUCACUUCAUCCUAGUAGAAAAGGUGACCACAAGAUUCAAGGUAGAUGGCAAACACAGAAAGAAAAACUCAGUAUUCGAGAGACUUCAAAUUGAUAUUCAACACUUGUGUUUGAGCAAGAUCCCUUUGUUAAGCAAAGAAAAACUACCUGUGGUCGGAAUUGGGAAGCAUCUGUGCGGUGUGGCCACAGGUGUGAUUGGAGACAUUAUGUGGGCAAAGAAUAUUUCAGGGCUCUAGGCCUUGGAGCAGUGGAAUUCCACUAUUUCCAGCGAAUGAGUAGUUGGGCGACUUGUGGGAUGCGAAAAACAUCUUCAGAAGCUUCAAAUAUUUCCACAAAAAGAGAAGAGAAACAGAACAACGACAGCGAAGAGCAUGAGGGUGGAGGAUACAGAAUCACAGACGACAACACCGAGAGUUUGCCUGGGUUUCUUACAGUUGAAGAAAAGAAGAAAAUAGGGCAUCUUUGUAAGCUGCUGAUUGACCAAGGCCGAAUCAAGUAUUUACAGCAGAAAGGAUUCAGUCCUGCUUUACAGUAUUAUACAGACCCUCUGGUGUCUUUGGAAAAUGUACUGUUAACUGCUUUACCAAAUCAUUCUUCGUCACCAGAAACAACCGCUUAAUGGAAAAGAAAUUUUGAACAUCUGUCUUCCACCAAAAAACAUUUUUUAAUUAUAUUUUUAUAUUCAUGAAAAUAUAAAUAGCAGAUCAUAUGAACUUUAAAAAAUGUUGCAGCCUCAUGGAACUUUGGUAAUGGCUUUGUUUUUUACUUCAGAAGGUCCAAACAUUAGAGAAUUCACCAAAUUCCCAAAGUAAUCCUCUUCAACAGGGCAUCACGGAUUAUAUUAUCCAUCAGCAUUUACAGAGGUUGGUAAAGUAGUCGAGCAGUUUACUUGGUUACCUGGAACACACAUAACAUGUCAGCAUGUAACUAGGCAUAUUAACUUUCUAUUUACAUUAAUUUUGGAAAUUUAUUUUCCUUUGGUUUUGUUUAAUACUUUUUAUUUUUCAAGUUCAAGAUAUAGUGGACAAUUGUCAAUUUACAGCAAGGACCAAUAUGAGAGUCUUGCUUAGAUACAGAUUUUUUUGUCCAGGCAGAUCUGGAAAGAAUAAUUAAUUUUCAUUGUUUCUGAUGCAAACAAAUUCAGAAGAUUCACAAACAGUUAAGGAAUUUGCCUUCAGAUUUCGAGAGCCAUACCUGUAUUUAUACACUGUCAGAACUUGUUCAUAACAAACACCAAAACUAAAGAUGUUUUCAAGAACAAAAGCUAUUUUACUUCACUUUUUUAAUUGGAUAAUUAUCUAGUUAGAACUUCCAAAAAUAAACUUAUAAGCCUAAUUCACAAAUUAAAUUGACACUUGCAAAUAACUUCUGGAGUUAAUUAGGUAUUAUAUUUUUUAACAGGCCAUUUUUAAAUGUACAGGAACAAAUAUAAAUAUAUUUUAUAUUUCUACUUGGGAAAAUAAUUUGAAGUAAAAUGGAAAUUAGAUAAUGAUACCAAAAACUUUCUCACUUUUUGGCCUCAUUUAACUCACCAUCUGUUUCUAUGCAUAAACAGACAUUAAGCCAAACAUAUGGUAGGACUGUUAAUCGUUUCCUCAUCUUAUCUUUGGUUUAUUUCUGCCUUAUUUGUAAAAAUGGUCUUAAUUGGCACAUUUGCCAAGAUAAAGAUCCAGAAUUACUGAUUUUAGAUAUUAUAAUGAUAUUUUUCAGUAACUAUAUUUUUAUUUGUAGGUCUGUGUUUACAUUAAUUGUAAAUUAGAAGACUGGCUCAUUUUUAAUUUCUGACCUUUCUACCUUAAUCUUAAUGUCUAAUGAGACUACCUAGUUUAAGUCCUAACCCUACUACUUGAUCUCUUUGUGCCUCAAUUCCCCUCUUAAAAUGGGGGUGAUACAGAUAAUAAUACCUCACAAGGUGGUUGUGAGCAUUAAGUGAGAUAACACAUUAAAAUGCGUAACACUUCUGGAGUUCCUGUUGUGGUGCAGCGGAGAUGAAUCUGACUAGGAACCAUGAGGUUGCAGGUUCAACCCCUGGCAUCACUCAGUGGGUUAAGGAUCAGGCGUUGCUGUGAGCUGUGGUGUAGGUCGCAGAUGCAGCUCGGAUCCUGCAUUGCUGUGGCUCUGGCGUAGGCCGGUGGCUACAGCUCCGAUUCAACCCCUAGCCUGGGAACCUCCAUAUGCCGCGGGUGCAGCCCUAAAAAGCAAAAAAAAAAAAAAAAAAAUGCUUAACACUUCUAAGUACAGAGCAACUACACAAUAAAUAUCAACUAUUAUUAAUAGUACUAAUUCAUAAAAAUAUUUUUAAUGACAUAACAGGCAGGCUUGGUUUUAUUAUCUUAGUUUAAAUUGUAACCUUUUUUAUUUUGUUGUAAGUUCUGUACCAAAUACUAUUAAAAUAAGGUGGCUUGAUUAUUUUUUAAAUAAGCUGUUCAUGCCUGCAAAUCAAGAACAUAAAUGAAGAUAAUACAUCAUUCAAUAAUUAACCUGAUUGUACUGAGUUAGGCAAUGCUAAUUUGUGUCAAUCUGUUUCACUUCAUUCAACGAUUCAUACCCAGAAAUAAAAGAUAUUCUACAACAGGCA